GAUGAAGAACGUAGCAAAAUGCGAUAAGUAAUGUGAAUUGCAGAAUUCAGUGAAUCAUCGAAUCUUUGAACGCACAUUGCGCCCGCUGGUAUUCCGGCGGGCAUGCCUGUUCGAGCGUCAUUUCAACCCUCAAGCCCCCGGGUUUGGUGUUGGGGAUCGGCUCUGCCUUCUGGCGGUGCCGCCCCCGAAAUACAUUGGCGGUCUCGCUGCAGCCUCCAUUGCGUAGUAGCUAACACCUCGCAACUGGAACGCGGCGCGGCCAUGCCGUAAAACCCCAACUUCUGAAUGUUGACCUCGGAUCAGGUAGGAAUACCCGCUGAACUUAAGCAUAUCAUAAGCGGAGGA
rnacentral:misc_RNA from 1 species